UCUCUGGAGGACUAGUGGUUAGGCCUCGACGCUCUCACUGCCGUGGCCUGGAUUCAAAUCCUGGCCAGGGAA
rnacentral:tRNA from 1 species